UCAGAAACCACUCCUCCUCUAGGACCUCCUAUUCUAAGAAGCCUGAGUGUUUGAGGUUUGUUCAUCCUGAGGCAUAAACACAAGAUCAAAGUGCCAAGCCAGAAGGAGGCAGAGUGUCUACAGAAGCAGCCGUGCAACUAGCAGCAGGAAUUGGGAAUCUGCAUUAUUAUUGCCUUCCUGUCCUAAUCAGCUCCAUCCACCAAGUAGACACCCACCCCCAGAGCCUGUGCCUGCAACUGCUUGGGGUAGGCUGAAUAACGCCUCCCAAAGAUGUCACUCUAAUCCCCAGCACCUGUGAAUGUUACCCCUGGGGAGUGUGCCUUAGAGGGGUGAGGAAGCUGGGUGCUCCUGUUCCUGUCCCUCGAGGUUAAGGACUGCUCCUGGGGUGUCAACUGCCCAGCUUCCAGCCUGCUCCAUGAGUGGCUCAGCAGGCUUCUGGAAUGAGUUAGGAAGCCCCUGGCACCCACUGGAACCAUGCCCAUGACUGCUAAAGCUGCAGGGAACUUCCAGGACUUUCCAGGGAUAUGGGUGAGUGUAUUUGUUGUCUGUUGCUGCAAAACAGAUCGCCAGAAAUUCAGUGACUUAAAACAACACACGUCUAUGAUCUCACAGUUUCUAUGGAUCAGGAGUUCAGGCACAGCUUAGCUGAGCCCUCCAUCUGAGGUCUCAGAAGGCUGCUGUCAGACAUGGAUUGGGCUGCACUUUCAUCUGGAGGCUCGACUGGGGAUGAAUCUACUUCUGGGUUCAUCUGGGUUAUUGGCAGAGUUCGUUUCCCUCUGGCUGUGUAACUGAAGGUCCUAGCCUUUUGCUUGCUCUCAACUGGGAACCUCCCUCAGGUCCUAGAGGCCACUUGCAUCUCCUAGAGGCCACCCACAGCUCCCUACCAUGUGGACUUCCUCAAUGUGGCUGCUUACUUCAUCAAGCCAACAAGCCUCCCUCCCUCUGAUCUGCUAACACAGAGUCAUAGAUAACAUAAGGCAAGCUAGGGAGUGACAGCUCAGCACCUUUACUGUGCGCUAUUGGUUAGGUGCAAGGUCACAGGUCUGGUCCACACUGGAGGGGAGGGCAUCAUACAAGGCAUGGACACCAGGAGGUGGGAAGUCACUGGGGUCACUUUAGGGGCUGCCCUGACAGCCUUGGAGCACUGGGGCACUGACAGCCUCUGCUAUAGGUUGUGAGACUUCAGUGCUGUGCAGAACAAACCCCUGAGUGUGGAACCCGUGCUUGGCUCUCCCUGUCCCACCUCCAGCUCCCACGCAAUGGGGGCUUCUAUGGGUGCAGGCACUGGGGGGCUCCCUGGGAGCUGGGGUGGGCACUUCAGGUCUCCUUUCACCUUUCAACCACUGGCCCCUUCCCAAGCUCAGUGUGUGACCUCAGGUAGGUUGCUUGGAGCUUCUGAGUCUUGAUGUUCUCAGCUGCAAGACACAGUUAACAGUAGCACCAGCCUCUUGGGUGAUUGUGGGGACAUAGCACUUAUGAAGGGUUUGAGUUUUGACCACACCAGGAAGUCCCCAAAUGUUUGCUAUGAUUAUCAUUAUUAUUGUCUACCUCUGGUUCCCAGGGAAGCCUCUUUAGUCCUCAGGGAACGCUCCCUCAUUCUGCAGGAAUCUUUGAACAUCUGGGCACCACAUGAAGCCUUAAGUGUUUUGGCAACAGUGUCUGGUACAUGAGGGGUGAAUCCAGCCCUGUCCUGGGGGCAGAGGUUCUGUUCUGGGAGAGUUUCAUCUCUGUCCAGUCAUGGCUUCACUGCACUAUCAGGGCAAUGAAUUUUAAUGGCAUGAAUUAUUGUUCACUCUUGCACUCUGCUGAACACUGUGUGAUUUCUGGGAACAGCCAGGCCUGGUGAUUCCUGCAGGUCAGCUGAGCCAGACCUGGCGCCUUGUACCAGCAGAAGGGCCUGUCUCCCCUUCCAAGGACCUGAGGGGCUUCGCUCCACUGCAAGAGCCUGGAAAAGUGCACCUGUUUGCUUCUCUUGCCCGGGGAAGGGCGGAUGAACUUGAGCAGCGCCCCCAGCAGGACCAGGACGGUGCCGACAAGCAGCACCAGCUUCAACCCCUUGAGCACGGAGUCCGCUCUGCCCGGCAGGGCCUUCCUUGCCUCCCGCCACUGGGCAUCGUUCUCUCUCCACUGAGCCUCCAGCGUCUCCGGACUGGUGGCGGGGUUGAACUGGGCCACGAGCUCCUGCUGCACGAAGCACUUGUAGAUGGCCGGCUGGAAGACCUGCAGCUGCCUGCCGCCGGUGGAGGGGUCCAGGAAGGUGGUGAAGUCCCGGCCGGAGAGCUGACUCUCCCACGUCAGGGGGGUGUCGUUGGCAUGCCAGUAGACGGGCCUGCGAGGAGGACAAGGUCAGGUGCAGGGCCCAGGGAGAAAGGAGGGACCGACGUCUGAAGGGAGAUGGAGACAGUGGCCCCCUUCUCCCUGAGGAACAAAAAAUAAAGCACCGCUCCGCCCCCCUCCUUGCCACUCCCCACGGAGCACUGUGCAGCCGUCGACAGUGGGGUGGGGGCUCCCAGGGCUCCACCCCUUACUGGCCCCAUCCCUUACUGGCUCCACCCCUUACUGGCCCCAUCCCUUACUGGCUCCACCCCUUACUGGCCCCAUCCCUUACUGGCUCCACCCCUUACUGGCCCCACCCCUUACUGGCCUCACCCCUUACUGGCUGGGUGACCUGGGCAAAUGCCUCAAGCUCUUUGAACUUCCAUUUCCUCAUCUAAAAAUAAGAGUCUAGACUGGGCUUGGUGGCUCACACCUGUAAUCCCAGCACUUUUGGAGGCAAAGGCAAGGAGGAUGGCUUGAGCCCAGGAGUUCAGGACCAAUCUGGACAACAAAGCAAGAACCCAUGUCUGCAAAAAUUUAAAAAAUUAGCUGGACACGGUGGCAUGCGCCUGUGGUCCCAGCUGCUCAGGAGGGUGAGGUGGGAGGAUCACUUGAGCCCAAGAGGUUGAGGCUGCAGUGAGCCAGUCACAGCACUGCACUCCAGCCUGGGUGACAGAGCAAGACCCUGUCCCAAAAAAGAAAACGACAAACCAAAAAAAUGGAGAGUAAUGAUUGUACCUCAUAAGGUUAUUUGGAGGAGUUAGCAAAGGCACUCCUUUAAUGAUUUGUCCACCUGCCUUUGCCUGUCUGGUCUCAUCUCCUUCACCCUCCCCUUCACUCACUCUGCUCAGCCACGCUGCUCUCCUAGAUGUUCCUCUGAUAUGCUGGGCACAGCCUCCGCCCUGGUUGUUCCCUCUGUCCCCAGAGUUCCCUCACCUCCUUUCAGUCUGGGCUGAAAUGGCAGCUUCUCAGAGGAACCUUCCCUGACCCCACCACUUUACACUUUUAACUUCCCCUAUUCCCAGCAUUCUUCCCUGCUCCGUCACCAUCUGAAAUACAAUAGGUCAGGCACAGUGGCUCAGGUUUGUAACCCCUCCCUUUGGGAGGCUGAGGUGGGAGGAUCACUUGA